rnacentral:rRNA from 1 species
CGCGCAGGCGGAUUGGUAAGUCAGAUGUGAAAUCUCGGGGCUCAACUCCGAAACUGCGUCUGAAACUACUAAUCUAGAGUUAUGGAGGGGGAAGUGGAAUUUCGCAUGUAGGGGUAAAAUCCGUAGAGAUGCGAAGGAACACCAGAGGCGAAGGCGACUUCCUGGCCAUUAACUGACGCUGAGGCGCGAAAGCGUGGGGAGCAAACA